UCUCUCUCUCUCUCUCUCUCUCUCUCUCUCUCUCUCUGCUUGCCCCCUCUUUUAUAGCACAGAAGACAGCUACCACCACAGUACCACUGUUACAGAGAUCAAAAUAAAAAGUAAAUAAAGCAAUCAGAAUGAAUGAGUGAUGGGGAAUUGCUUGAAGUUACUGUUGGCGCUGAUGGAUGGACGAAUGCAUUGUAAUCAUGUAAUGUAAUCAUGUCUCAUAGACGAUACUGCAUAAUAAUGGAAGCUGUGAGGCAGGGAAGCUAACAUACGCCUGGGGGGGCUUCUGGCCCUUAGGUUAGAUGAUAAUAAAGAUAUGUGGGGGACCUUUUAUGCGGACUUUACGUAAAAACGACACAUGUCAGCAUGUUAGACAACAUGGGUUUGCCUAAAAUUAAGGGUCCUGGAAGUCCAAAGCACGACAAUGAUCAUCAGGGCGAUGGUGAAUUCCGUUUGAAGGGUCCAAGUGUUUGAUGGAUGAGGACUAUCAGAUCAACGUCCUUUUCCUCAAAACACAUCUUUGAGGUGUGAAGAUCUCCAUGCUGGGUGUACCGGAAUGAACGGUGAAA
rnacentral:lncRNA from 1 species